AUGAGUGGGGGGGGGGAAGAGACAGAGAGGGAUGGAGAGAAAGAGAGAGAGAGAGAGAGAGGGAGACAGACAGAGGGGGAGAGACAGAGAGGGGGAUGGAGAGAAAGAGAGGGGGAUGGAAAGACAGACAGGGUGGAGAGAGGGGGGGGAGAGACAGAGAGGGGGAUGGAGAGAAAGAGAGAGAGGGGGAUGGAGAGAAAGACAGACAGGGUGGAGAGGGAGAGACAGAGAGACAGAGAGGGGGAUGGAGAGAAAGAUAGACAGGGUGGAGGGGGGGAGAGAGAGAGAGACAGACAGACAGACAGACAGAGAGAGACAGAGACAGAUGGGGGCAUCAUAGAGAAAGCUAAACAGAACAAAGACAGAAAUGGGGAGCAGCUGCUGAUGCCCCCACCCCCGGCCUCCUUUACUGGUCCGUCAUCCCCAUCCCUGUCCCUGGGCUCUCCCUAGCACCCUCCUCAUUGGUCACAAGAGCUCUCCCGAUGACAAUGGCCUCACAGAUUGAGCUCUCCUGGUAGUCAAUCCCCUACACCCAACCCAACCAGGACUCCUGGCCUCACCCUCCCUCACCCCCAGGCCUCAGUCUCCCCAGGUGGCCUUGUUUAGCAGCAGCCUUGGGGUGGCUCUUCCUUCUCUAAUCCACCUUUCACUCGGAAGGGAAGCCCUAGGAGCUUUCCUUACUCCCUGCCCUGAUUCCGUACAUCCCUCUCCUGAAGGGAAAUUCCCAGGAUUCCCUGUUGCCUCGGCACUGAGAGCCCCGGGUGUCCUGGUAAAUGGGUGGUUGGUGGCACAAAGGAUAGAGCCCCAGUCUGCAAUCUCGGAGACCUCUUCCAUUGUUCAAACCCCGCCUGAUGCCUGAACCACUUAAACUUGCUUGCCUCAGUUUCCUCAUCUGUCAAAUGAGCUGGAGAAGGAAAUGGCAAACCAGUCUGGCAGGAUCACAAAGAAUUAGACAAUGAAAAAUAACUGAAAAGCAGCCCUUUGAAACAAUUUUUUAAAAAAGUCAGCUGGGUAGCUCAGUGGAUGGAGAACCUAGAGACCGGAGGUCCUGGGUCCCAAUGUGGCCUCAGGCACUUUCCAGCUGGGUGACCCUGGGCAAGUCACUUGACCCCCCCAUUGCCUAGCCCUUGCUGCUCUUCUGCCUUGGAGCCAAUGUUCAGUACUGAUUCCAAGACUGAAGGUGAGGGGUUAAAAAAUAUCAACUAGGUGUAAACAAACCUUUAUCAGUCUGGAAGGAUCACACGGGCAGUUGGUACCAUUUAUGUUCCAUUCUGGUGGAUUUUACUUUUGUUUCUUCUUAAACCCUUCCUCACCUUCCAUCUUAGAGAGUCAAUACCGUGUAUUGGUUCCAAGGCAGAAGAGUGGUAAGGGGUAGCUGAUGAGGUUCAAGUGACCUGCCCAGGGUCACACACCUGGGAAGUGUCUGAGGUCACAUUUGAAUCCAGGACCU
rnacentral:lncRNA from 1 species